rnacentral:rRNA from 1 species
CACUCCUACGGGAGGCAGCAGUGGGGAAUUUUGGACAAUGGGCGAAAGCCUGAUCCAGCAAUGCCGCGUGAGUGAAGAAGGCCUUCGGGUUGUAAAGCUCUUUUGUCAGGGAAGAAACGGUGAGAGCUAAUAUCUUUUGCUAAUGACGGUACCUGAAGAAUAAGCACCGGCUAACUACGUGCCAGCAGCCGCGGUAAUACGUAGGGUGCAAGCGUUAAUCGGAAUUACUGGGCGUAAAGCGUGCGCAGGCGGUUUUGUAAGUCUGAUGUGAAAUCCCCGGGCUCAACCUGGGAAUUGCAUUGGAGACUGCAAGGCUAGAAUCUGGCAGAGGGGGGUAGAAUUCCACGUGUAGCAGUGAAAUGCGUAGAUAUGUGGAGGAACACCGAUGGCGAAGGCAGCCCCCUGGGUCAAGAUUGACGCUCAUGCACGAAAGCGUGGGGAGCAAACAGGAUUAGAAACCCCUGUAGUCCCAUGAU